CCAAUAGCGUAUAUUAAAGUUGUUGCAGUUAAAAAGCUCGUAGUUGAAUUUCGGGAUCAAUAUGUUGGUCGUGCCUUGGUACGUACUGGCAUUAUUGGUUUCUACCUUCUGAAGAACCUCGAUGUCAUUAAUUUGGUGUCUUGGGGAAUCAGGACUGUUACUUUGAAAAAAUUAGAGUGUUUAAAGCAGGCUCGCGCUUGAAUACAUUAGCAUGGAAUAAUGAAAUAGGACGUUUGAUUCUAUUUUGUUGGUUUCUUGGAUCGACGUAAUGAUUAAUAGGGAUAGUUUGGGGCAUUAGUAUUCAAUUGUCAGAAGUGAAAUUCUUGGAUUUAUUUAAGACUAACUACUGCGAAAGCAUUUGCCAAGGGUGUUUUCAUUAAUCAAGAACGAAAGUUAGGGGAUCGAAGACGAUCAGAUACCGUCGUAGUCUUAACCAUAAACUAUGCCGACUAGGGAUCGGAUGAUGUUAAUUUUUUAAUGACUCAUUCGGCGCCUUACG
rnacentral:rRNA from 1 species